rnacentral:rRNA from 1 species
UGGGGCAUAUUGCACAAUGGGCGCAAGCCUGAUGCAGCCAUGCCGCGUGUAUGAAGAAGGCCUUCGGGUUGUAAAGUACUUUCAGCGGGGAGGAAGGGAGUAAAGUUAAUACCUUUGCUCCUUGACGUUACCCGCAGUAGAACCACCGGCUAACUCCGUGCCAGCAGCCGCGGUAAUACGGAGGGUGCAAGCGUUAAUCGGAAUUACUGGGCGUAAAGCGCACGCAGGCGGUUUGUUAAGUCAGAUGUGCAAUCCCCGGGCUCAACCUAGGAACUGCAUCUGAUACUGGCAAGCUUGAGUCUCGUAGAGGGGGGUAGAAUUCCAGGUGUAGCGGUGAAAUGCGUAGAGAUCUGGAGGAAUACCGGUGGCGAAGGCGGCCCCCUGGACGAAGACUGACGCUCAGGUGCGAAAGCGUGGGGAGCAAACAGG